rnacentral:lncRNA from 1 species
CCAGUAUCAUCUUGGUCAGUGAAGCACUUUUAUUCUGAUUACUGAACAAAUCAGUUGUAGAACCUCAGGACUGCCUGGGACUUUAAGUACUUACCCCUUUUCUUCUGUGCUAAGAAAUAAAUUGUGCUUUAUUAACAAGCAUUUUUAAAAGCUGAUUAACACUUUGAGGCUAUUUUAUUAUUUUUAUUUUAUUCAGUAAUAGUUUUAAAUAGUUUAAAUAUCUUUCAAAGUAUAUAAAAGAUGGUAUAAUACUGACAUAAAAUAGUACAGUCUUUAAGAUUCUUGGGUUAACCAAAUAUGUAUAUAGUAAAGAACUUCUGCAUUCUAAUGUUCAUAUUUUGCUUUUUAGGCCAUCUGUGUAGGACCAGAAAACAUGCAGAUAAUGUAUCCAGCUAUAUUUGACCAGUUACUGGCAUUUGUAGAAUUUUCCUGUAAACCUCCACAGUAUGGACAGCUGGAAACAAAGCACAUUGCAAAUGCAAAAUAUAAUCAGGNNGAAUGGGUAGCCUUGAAUUAUGUACCAUUUGCUGAAAGGUCUUUAGAAGUAGUUGUGGAUUUAUACCAAAAAACAGCCUGUCAUAAAGCAGUGGUGAAUGAGAAGGUUCUACAGAAUAUUAUUAAGGUAUUUUUUUUCAUUUCUAUACUUUUAUGACUAUAUCACUGAAAUUACUCU